rnacentral:rRNA from 1 species
GACGAACGCUGGCGGCGUGCUUAACACAUGCAAGUCGAGCGGAAAGGCCCUUCGGGGUACUCGAGCGGCGCACGGGUGAGUAACACGUGAGUAACCUGCCCCAGACUUUGGGAUAACCCUCGGAAACGGGGGCUAAUACCGGAUACGACACAGCUUCGCAUGGGGUCUGUGUGGAAAGUUUUUCGGUUUGGGAUGGGCUCGCGGCCUAUCAGCUUGUUGGUGGGGUGAUGGCCUACCAAGGCGACGACGGGUAGCCGGCCUGAGAGGGCGACCGGCCACACUGGGACUGAGACACGGCCCAGACUCCUACGGGAGGCAGCAGUGGGGAAUAUUGCACAAUGGGCGGAAGCCUGAUGCAGCGACGCCGCGUGAGGGAUGACGGCCUUCGGGUUGUAAGCCUCUUUCAGCAGGGACGAAGCGUAAGUGACGGUACCUGCAGAAGAAGCGCCGGCCAACUACGUG